CUCAUCUCCUGAGAGCAUUGCCUUUGCCAGAACCUAAACCACCCAGUUCGCAAGGCAUUCUGGGAAAUGUAGUUUUCAAGCAUCUAGCUCCAGCGGCGGAAGGCUACUGUAGAAAGAUGUGUGGGCCUCAGAACCAACGAAAAAUAACAGGUUUUUGUAACUCUGAAAUUUAUAUGGAAGAUCCAGGUCCAAGCCACACCUGAAAAAGACUGUGUGAAAUUGCUCUGUCAUACGUUGAGACUUGAUAUAUGCAUAUGAAAAAGAAGAGAAGGAAGAAAUCAGAGAAGAAAAGGAGAGCAAGGACAAGAGGAAAGAGAGCGAACAGAAGAAAUUAAAGAAGAAAGGGAGGGAGGGAGGGAGAAAUGGAAGGAGAGACACAGGGAGGCACGGAAGGAGCGACUGAGAAAGGAAGGCAGGGAGCAAGAGAGGUGGGGCAAGGAUCUUACUGGAGCUCCAUUCCAAACAGGAGGAGGAGAGCUGCUUCAGGUGGAGCUGGGGGGGAUCUGGGUCCCCAGAUGCUUUGCCUUUUGUUCUCUUGCAGCACCUGAGGCAACUUUAAGAAUUUUAACACUCUUGAGAAGACAGGAAAUAACCCUUGUUCAGAGCUACAGCAGCCUUCCAGCUUUGCAAGUGUUAUUACUCACUCACUGGGUGUGCAAACAGGGAGAGCACUGGGCAAUACCCCGUGAUACUGAGACCUGUUUGCAGGAGUGUUCUACUCUCUGAGCCACACUUGGAAUCACUUACCUGCUGCAUUUGUUAGGUUUCCUAUUUUAAAAUUAAUAAAAACACAAGGAUAUACACUCACCUCAUGAUACUAGGGCUGGGCUGGAGAAGAAAUAGAAUUAGACGUGAUAAAAAUUAUAAAUUCUGUAAUAUAGCAUCUACGGGAAAAUCCCAUACUGGAAAAAAUGGUUGUCUUUUGUGGUGAGGAAUACGUAAGUGAGUAUUUUUAAUCAUGCUCAGUUGAGGGGAUAAACCCCAAUCAACCGAAUUCCUAAACACUGGAUAAUUGUAGAAAAGUAAAGAGAAACAGAAAUAAAUCUCAAAUAACUGAAUUAACU
rnacentral:lncRNA from 1 species